GCGUGUUUGGAGAGUCAUGAGAGGUCAAGAAAGUGAAAAAGAGCGAGUGGAAGUAUCAUGACAUGACUCGGGGAACCAAAGGAACAAAAGAGAUGAAGAAAUAUGCAUUUUUAAGUGAAGAACAUGGUUGGCAUUACG